GGCGCUGAAGCGUCGUGCUUAUACUCGGCCGUCGGAACAGUAGUGAUAUCUCUGACAUCCUACGGGGUGUAGAAUAUCGUCAGGUCUCGACGAGUAGGUGGGCCGCGGCGGUGAGCGCAGAAGGACUGGGCGUAGGCCCGUCUGGAGCCGCCGCCGGUGCAGAUCUUGGUGGUAGUAGCAAAUACUCCAGCGAGGCCCUGGAGGACUGACGUGGAGAAGGGUUUCGUGUGAACAGCCGUUGCACACGAGUCAGUCGAUCCUAAGCCCUAGGAGAAAUCCGAUGUUAAUGCAGUUGUGUCUCUAUUAUGACGAAUUGCGAGUGAAUAGUACUUUGUACAUAUACAUAACGAUGCAUACCAAACUGUGGACUGAAGCAUAUAGCAAACUACUUGAAGUGCAAUUCACAUUGCAGAGUGCAGUAUACUAUUUCUAUGCGCGAAACACACUCGCACUAGUUGUAGACUCUCACACUGGUUUUGGGUUUCGUUCGUUCGAUAGUUUGGUUGGCGGAAACACAGGCAUAGCUUAUGGUUGUAUUUAAAGUGUCUCUUGCUAAAAUUCAUGUAAUGAAGUUGUAUCACACUCAUUGGGCGAAAGGGAAUCCGGUUCCUAUUCCGGAACCCGGCAGCGGAACCGUUUACAAGUCGGGCCCUCGUAAGAGAGUUCGUCGGGGCGACCCAACAGGACCUGGAGACGCCGUCGGGAGAUCCGGGAAGAGUUUUCUUUUCUGUAUGAGCGUUCGAGUUCCCUGGAAUCCUCUAGCAGGGAGAUAGGGUUUGGAACGCGAAGAGCACCGCAGUUGCGGCGGUGUCUGGAUCGUCCCCUCGGACCUUGAAAAUCCAGGAGAGGGCCACGUGGAGGUGUCGCGCCGGUUCGUACCCAAUCCGCAGCAGGUCUCCAGUGAGAC
rnacentral:rRNA from 1 species